rnacentral:rRNA from 1 species
GCGUGGGGGAAGAAGGCUCUUGGGUUGUAAACUCCUUUUCUCUGGGAAGAACAAAAUGACGGUACCAGAGGAAUCAGCAUCGGCUAACUCCGUGCCAGCAGCCGCGGUAAGACGGAGGAUGCAAGCGUUAUCCGGAAUGAUUGGGCGUAAAGCGUCCGCAGGUGGCAGUUCAAGUCUGCUGUCAAAGACCGGGGCUUAACCUCGGAAAGGCAGUGGAAACUGAACAGCUAGAGUAUGGUAGGGGCAAAGGGAAUUCCUGGUGUAGCGGUGAAAUGCGUAGAGAUCAGGAAGAACAUCGGUGGCGAAGGCGCUUUGCUGGACCAUAACUGACACUCAGGGACGAAAGCUAGGGGAGCGAAUGGGAUUAGAUACCCCCUGUAGU